rnacentral:tRNA from 1 species
GGCCUCGUAGCUCAACUGGUAGAGCACACGUGCGUUGCUGAAGUGUGAGCGUGGAGUCUAUGCGUGGGUGGGAAUCUCACCGGAGUCA